UGACCUCUCAUGUGGCACAGUUCAGUCAACGACACCAUAUAAGAAGGCCACAGAAAUCCCUUGGUUUCAGCAUUUUAUGUUCACUGAAUCAAAAUAAACAAAAUGCCAUCAAACUGGAAGAGGCCAGCUGAUGUUGCAUUUCCUCAAGUUUGGGCUAGGUGUGAAGGCAAAACAACUUUAGCAGAUGGUUCUAAGCUCGUCUACAGAAUACAGGAUGCCACUCCUGAAAUGCAUGAAGAAAUUGUUGACAGACUCAUGAUGGUAUACUUUGUCCGAGAUGAGGAUAUUUGCAAGACAAUUAAUUUAAUGGCAGAUAAAACAUCUAUGGAAGACACUAGAAUAAUGUGGAAGGAAUCACUAAGGCAGAAUGUUGGUCUUGUAGCUAUAAGAGAAUAUCCAGAUGGUCAAGAAGAAAUCAUUGGGACCAAUAUAACAUGUGUUGUCACCAAAGGAGAGAAAUCAAAUCCUGAUGAGGUGAAAGGCGAGGCAAUGAGAAAAAUUUGGCGUAUGUUGAUGGAAGAUCUACCAAAGCAACUUGAUGUAUUUGAGCAUUAUGGGGUGGACCACUACAUGAGUGCUGUGGGACUAACUGUAUUACCAAAAUACAGAGGACAAAAUGUGGGACUUGAGAUUUUACGUGCUCGAUUUCAACUUGUGAAAGGUGUUGGACUGAAGGCAACAGCAACAGCUUUCACUGCCAUGGCCUCUCAAAAACAAGCACAGCGUGCAGGCUAUGAGUUGUUGACUGAAAUGGUAUAUAAUGAUUACAAGGUAGAUGGAAAAGUUGUCUUCCCAGGGAUGACCACACCAUCAGUGAAAUAUAUGGGCAAAUACAUACCUUGAUGAGCAGAACAUAAACUGUAAUGGUCUUUCAGAAACAAAGUAGCAGAGAAAGUGUGUGUGUGUGUGUGUGUGUGUGUGUGUGUGUGUGUGUGUGUG
rnacentral:misc_RNA from 1 species